UACGAAGGGUGCAAGCGUUACUCGGAAUUACUGGGCGUAAAGCGUGCGUAGGUGGUUUCUUAAGUCUGCUGUGAAAGCCCUGGGCUCAACCUGGGAAUGGCGGUGGAUACUGAGGAGCUAGAGUGCGGUAGAGGAGGGUGGAAUUCCCGGUGUAGCGGUGAAAUGCGUAGAGAUCGGGAGGAACAUCAGUGGCGCAGGCGGCAUCCUGGACCAACACUGACGCUGAGGAGCGAAAGCCAGGGGAGCAAACGGG
rnacentral:rRNA from 1 species